UACGUAGGGUGCAAGCGUUGUCCGGAAUUAUUGGGCGUAAAGAGCUCGUAGGCGGUCUGUCGCGUCGGCUGUGAAAACCCGGAGCUCAACUCCGGGCCUGCAGUCGAUACGGGCAAACUGGAGUGUUGCAGGGGAGACUGGAACUACUGGUGUAGCGGUGAAAUGCGCAGAUAUCAGGAGGAACACCGGUGGCGAAGGCGGGUCUCUGGGCAACAACUAACGCUGAGGAGCGAAAGCGUGGGGAGCGAACAGG
rnacentral:rRNA from 1 species